CCUCCACCCCCUCCAUCGCCGGCAUGCAAACCUAAGGACGAUGAAUGUAAGGGAAAAGUGAUCAAACUGAACAAACAGAACCUGAGCAAACAGAUCAAUGACUUGUUGAAGAAGUUAUGCAAACCUAAUGGCAACGUAUGUAACAGAAAGAAUAAACUACUGAUCGAGGACUUAUUGAAGAAGGCAUGCAAACCUAAUAAUGAAGUCGUAUGUAAGAUAAAUUUUAUCAAACGUAUCAAUGACUUCUUGAAGAAGGCAAAAUCCCCUCCAUCGCCUUGAAGGUUUUCCAAAGCCAAAAACAAAUGAUUCCACAAAUUUCUUGAUGAAAAAAUAUUUUCACAAGUUGUCACCAUAAAU
rnacentral:lncRNA from 1 species